rnacentral:lncRNA from 1 species
CUCUCUUUUUUUCUUUAUGAUAGACCACUAGCAGUUUCUCUUAACGUAAAAACUUUCUUACUGUAUUUUAUGACAUAUUUUACUGUGCAUACAUAGGAACUAGAUAAGACCCACUAAAGAGAUUAUCUCUGUAACUUUUACUACUGUUGACUGAGAACACUUUAUUCCAUUUUAAAUCAUUUGAGAAAACUGCAAACAUUUUCUGAGACUUAGGCCUGGCCUUACCCCUGAUCUUUAAAACUGAUAGACAACAACCACAAAAGUUUCAGUAGAAGCCAUUUAAAAGGAAAAAAAGCCUCUCAUUAUCUUGAAACAGAAGGUGUAUUAGUCUGUUCUCACACUGCUAUAAAGAACUGCCCCAGACUGGGUAAUUUAUAAAGGAAAGAAGUUCAAUGGACUCACAGUUUCACCUGGCUGGGGAGGCUUCAGGAAACUUACAGUCAUAGUGGAAGGGGAAGCAAACACAUCCUUCUUCACAACGUGGCUGGAGAAAGAAGUGCCAAGCAAAAGGGGGAAAAGCCCCUUAUAAAACUGUCAGACCUUGUGAGAGUUCACUCACUGUCAUGAGAACAGCAUGAGAGUAACCAUCCCUAUGAUUAAAUUACCUCCCACUGGGUCCCUCCCAUGACACAUGGGGAUUAUGGGCACUACAAUCAAGGUGAGAUUUGGGUGGGGACACAGAGCCAAACCAUAUCAUUCUGCCUUGAGCAACUACACCCCUGUGGCUUUGCAGGGUACAGCUUCCCUCCUGGCUGUCUUCACAGCCUGGCAUUGAGUGUCUGUGGCUUGUUGUCAGUGGUGCAUGGUGCAAGUUGUGGUGCAUGGUGCAAAAGGGGGAAAAGCCCUUUAUAAAACUGUCAGACCUUGUGAGAACUCACUCACUGUCAUGAGAACAGCAUGAGAGUAACCAUCCCCAUGAUUAAAUUACCUCCCACUGGGUCCCUCCCAUGACACAUGGGGAUUAUGGGCACUACAAUCAAGGUGAGAUUUGGGUGGGGACACAGAGUCAAACCAUAUCAUUCUGCCUUAAGCAACUACACCCCUGUGGCUUUGCAGGGCACAGCUUCCCUCCUGGCUGCCUUCACAGCCUGGCAUUGAGUGUCUGUGAGUGUCUGUGGUGCAUGGUGCAAGUUGUCAGUGGAUCUACUAUUCAGGGGUCUGGAGGAUGGUAGCCCUCUUCUCACAGCCCCACUAGGCAGUGCCCCGUGGGGACUCUGUGUGGGGGCUCUCACCCCACAUUUUCAUUCCACUCUGCCCUAGCAGAGGUUCUCCAUGAGAACUCCACCCCUACAGCACUCCUCUGCCUGGAUAUCCAGGUGUUUCCAUACCUCCUCUGAAAUCUAGAGGUUUCCAAACUUUAAUUCUUGAUGUCCCUAAAAACUAAAUUGAUUAUUUAAAAAGACAAGAUAUAGUUAUCUAUAUGAUUUAGCUAAUACAGUUGCACUAGUUAUUUUUCCCAGAUUCCCACUGAAUGAGUCUUUAAUGCGUUGGAAUAAAAUUAUAUUCAACACAAAAUCUACCUUUCAAAAUCAAGUAAGAAAACAUACAAAACUAUUCAAGUGACCAAAGUUAAGAUAAAUGCAGGAAUGAAUAAUUAAAAUCAAGAUUUUAUCACAAUGUUUUAGAGUUAAUCCAUAUUCACAGAAAUGUGACACUAGUGAUACAUCACAAGCAUAUCAUGAGAGCUGAGACUUUCUUCAAAUAAUAAUGACUAACACUGUAUUUUUACUAUGUAUCAGUUCACCAGAGAAGCAAUGUAAUGAAUUACUUUGCUUAAUGAAGAUGAAAUUAUUUUUCACAUUUUGCCAAUGAGGAAACUGAGAAACGGUUGGUACGGACAAAGGGCAGUACUCUCGUCCAUGUCUACCUUCAGUUCAAGCUUUUGUUCUUAACUACUUUGCUCUAAUACAUACUGCAUUAAUGCUGAAACAGGAAUUCACCAGAACUACUUUACUGAAUAGUUGGUUGAAUCUAUGAGUGUGGAACCCAAGGUUAUGGAGGACUGGCUGUGGAUACCUGAAGAGAUGGUCCUUAUUGUUGCAUCCUCUGGAUCGGGGAGAACGCUGUGUCCUCACAUGGCUGAAGGCAGAGGGGCAAGCACACCUAAUGCUGCGUGAAGCCUCUUUUAUAAGGGCCUUAAUCUCUUUGGCCAGACCUGCAUUGAGCUGCGGUGCUGAUGUUUCUCCUAGUAGCAUGGCUUUCGGUAUAAAAAUAUGCAAAAAAGUGACGUGAGGAAUAUUUGAACCAAGGUUUUAACCUUCAAAAUAUCAGGAAUGGGAAAGGAGGCAGCUAAGAAGAUGGAGAAGGAUAUACUGGGGAAACAAGUCAUAAGGAUUUGCCUUUCAGUUAAAAAACUUUCCCUGAAGCAGCUAUUAGAGAAAAGCAACUUAUUAUAAUUCUGAAAAUUUUUCCUUCUUGAUGUUCUAUCUCUAUGCAGAUGUCAUCUCCUCUUCCAUUCAGUAGACAAAAAAUAAAAAAUGGAUACUGUGUUAUUGGUGCUCUG